GGAUGGCCGUGCCGUCGCCUCAGUUCGUCGGCAGCCGUCCCACAGUGCGGAUGACCCAAAAUCGGACCGCGGAGCGCCGACCGCCGACCUUUGACACCAGUUUUGCUCGCGUUCGCGAUUUUUGCCGCGCUGCCACCGCGGUUUCAGCGCCUUCGAUCCGUUCUGUGUUUGUGCUGCAAUUUCGGUGCGAAAAAUGAAAACAAAAACAGAGUAAACAAGAAUUCAGGAGUUAUGUGACAGAAUAAAGUAAAGCCUCCGUGGUUCAAUACCAAAUCAAUUGAAAUAUGUACACUCGCUUUGCAGGAUGCAUCCACGGUAAUUACACCAUUCUGCUUUAAAAGGACACACCUCCUUCAAAUGUAACGACUCGAAUCCAGAUGAUAUAUUGCAACGAUGCCUCUCGUGCAGGCGCAUUAAGUUCGCUUAUUGCCGGCAAUAAA